AUCCUUUUGUGGUCCACAAACUUGAUGCUUAGGUUUUUCACACUAUUGUGUGAGAUGAGCUUCCCUCAAAAUUUAUAAUGUUGGCAUGUUGCCAAGCUGACA